CUACCAAAUUACGAAUACAGACCCAAGUUCGUGUGCUCACUGAUAACAAGCUGCAACAUUAUUUCAUUUCAUUUUUUUCCUCCAAACGAACGUCAAAACCAAAAUAUCAUAACGAGACCGUAUGGUGUACAUUUUAUAUUUAUUACACGCAUAAUAUUACAAUGUUUAAACGUGAUAAUACUGAAUGUCAUGCAAUCCCGUUCUUUAAUGAUAGGUCGAUGAAUUGCGUAGUCCCGAGAGAAAAAAAGGAACCGAAGACUGAAAUAGCGAGGAGAGAAAGGAAAUGGAAGCGAUAAAAUUCGAAGAAAACCGAAAACGUACACAUGCUACAAUAUGUAUACAUAUUAUUAUUAUAUACCGACGACUGCAAAAAUAUGUAAUGCUUUUAUAAAUACAAAUAUUAUACAACAUUGUUAAUAUGUUUUAAUGUUUUAUUUCAUACAUGCGUGACGGCGGGACCGGAUGCAAUUUUAAGAAAAAAAACAGUGUUAUGUCGUGCAGUGUGUCACAAAAAUACCGAUACUCUUCUGGUACACAGAAACCUACGCAUAACGAAAUGAUUUAGUAUUUUUAAACCAAGUAUGUUUGAUUGUCAAAAGUGCAUUGUCCAGCAUAGUCUAUUCGAUAUGCAAUAUACAAUACAAAGCAACAGAUUGUGCCGAAAAUCUAAAAUAUGAUUCUAUUAUUUGUGGCGUCAAUAAAUAUCUACAACUAAUAUGCUUGAGGGUUAUUUAGAAAAAUAUUUUGGUUAAUACGAAAAUGACCAAUUUAACAGGAUAU